rnacentral:lncRNA from 1 species
GUGGUGCUGCUGGAGAUGCUCGCGCAGAAGGAGCCCGCCGGCGACGACGACCGCGCGCCCAGCUCCCGCGACAUCUUCCUGCCGGCGUCGUUCAAGAACCUGGUGCUCGAGAGGAAGAUCUCCGACGCCUUCAGCUCCGACCUCGUCAGGCAGAGCAGGAAGUCGGGGAACGAGAAGAAGCUGAACGCGUUCUUCGAGCUGGCCACGGCGUGCUGCAGCCCUUCGCCGUCGCUCCGGCCCAACACCAAGGAGAUACUCAGAAGGCUUGAGGAGAUAGCAAAAUAAUUAACUAAAUGUGGGUAGGUUCACCAUUCAGACGUAGCACGAGGCAAGGCUCAAGGAACGACUGAACCUCUGCUGGACGGAAAAUUGGAGAAUGGAGGCACACGGUUCAGAUAUCAUGGAAUGUGUAUAGUCAGAGUGUAAGCGCGGUGGAGGCCAUCGUCUCAAGAAUAUACUCAUUGUACGUAAUUUAUUUUCUUGUGCUUUGCUUGAAACCGACCAUGUACAAAGUGUUGAAAGAGUGGGGACGGCGUAUGCUGCAUGUUCAUGCAUCAAAAUCGCCAUGUCGAUGUAACCUUGGUCUGAUCUGAGUGUUAUAUCAGAUAUGAUUGGUAGGAGCAUUUGCUGUGCAGCUUGUGAUGUUCCCGGUGCAUGUGCGGUUGUUCUACUUGUACGCACUGACAAGGGCCGGCAGGGAGUGAUUCUCUCCAAGGGAAUUAUGCCCAGCGUUGCCUGAUUUCGGUCUCUGCACAGUCAUGCUGUCCUUAACAGUGGCUAGAUUCCGAAAUAGUAAGAAAUUAAGAUUCGGAACUUUUGGUUGUAGCUAGAUUGCUCAGCGGCAUGGCCUCAAAAACAGGUCACCAUCCACCACCUUCUCUUUCGCCGACACCAAAAGCGUAGCGUCCGUAACACACGGGCCUACAGUCUGCUGAUUUAUUUCGUAACCUGCAAAUGAAUCGCCUAUUCACUAUCCCACGUCAACAAAUGAUCAUCCUGUGCUAGCUUAAGCUUACCAAACGAUCUUCGGCUUGACGCCAGAAAAACUUACUGAUCAUCUCGAGUCUCCUUGUCCCUGAAUUAUCGUAAUGAGACGGAACAUGAAAGGCAUGUGUCAUGGCCUCCGCUGGCCGAGUGAUUAUCAGGUGGGUGAGGCCUUGGUUUGUGCCACCGGUUAGCCGCGGCGUCUCUCUCGCAGCGCAGGGAAAGCGGCAGCACGUGAAGCGCCAACGAACCCACCGAGAAAACUUGGAGCAAGCCUCCAAGCCUCCAAGCCGGGACCGCCUCUCGUCGUCCUCCAACUCCGCGGCCCCCUAAUGGUAGAUCUUGUGGGCACGUACAUACGUCCGUAGGCCGUAGCGUAGAUCAAAUGCCCCUGCGCGCGCUCAGGCCGGCCGGCCGGUCCGGUCCGGUGCACGGACGCCUGCGCUCGCCGUGCCGUAUCAUCAAUUUGCUAAUGCACAUGUCCCUUGGUCACAAAUCUUACGAUGUGUACUGUCGACGCGUUUUUACUGCCUCUGGCCCGUUGCCGACGCCGACGCCGAUGCCAUGGCCGUGCGCCGUGGUCCUCGCCCGUCCAUUCGCGGCUACUACAGUUGUGCGCGCCGUCCGUCGUGUAGCGUCUUGUGGGCAUGCGGCGUGCACCGUGUUUAACUUGGUAAGCUAAGCCGCACACGGCGAAGUGUUCGGGUCGGUGGGAGGCGGGUCACCGUACCUACCUAUGCGUCGACAUGUACCCGGUGUACGUACGUGCCGGGCCGCGACGGCGAUGGCUGGGGAGAGGAGAUGGUGGUGGAUUGGUGGUGGCGGUGGUUGCGCGUGGCUGGCGCGGCGGAGUAGGAGUGGUAGGGCGUCGGGGCGGUACCACGCGGAUUGGGUGCGCGUGCACGGCGCCGAGCGCAGGGGGCUGCGUGGCCGGAUGAUAGAUGCGUCGCACGCAGGCGCAGGCAUGUGGGCGUCAUGUGGUAGGGAGUUGGCUGUGGGUGCUACUACUGGGUGAGAUAAGGCUCUGAUAAGAUGUGAUUUGGCUACUGCCGCUCGCGAUUCGCUGCUGCGCUGUCUACUCAUUGCGAGAGUUGGUGCUUGUCACUGAAUGUGAAUGGUACCGUACCGGAGUUAAAUCAAGUGAAAGCAGCAAGUACCACUGCCGGUGCCGGGGUUUAUUUAUGUUGGGUUGCACUGCGGCGCUGCAAUCAUCGCUCUUCCGUGCGGCUUCAUUCGUUCCUUUGCUGGGGCCGGGGGAAACGGGUUGGCCUUGGCCGUCGCCGGCCGAAUGCAAUAUGGCAUCGCGACCCAAAGCUUUUGCUGCGGUAUUGCCGACUUGCAAGUUAAGUUUUUUUUUUUAAUGAACGAGCAAGCUCGGUUGAGAUCCUUGCCUUUUCAACCUUGAACAGCGGUAUUUGUUUUGAUAGAGUAUUUUUCAUUAAUUCAUAUUGAAACACAAGCAGAUGUACAAAAUACAACGAGCACACAGCCAGCCACUACACGACUAGGAUGCACACAACCAAUACACACACAAAGAUAUUCAUCACAAGAUCAAAACUAUGCCUAGGUCAAAUGGAAAAGAAAGAGAAAAGAAAAGGAGAAAGGACUUCGCCGAAGCAGUAGAAACAACCAUUGAUGUGGCAUGCCCUACUGCAAACAUGACUAGUACACAAGUCAUGGUGAGUACGUCGGUCAAUGACAAGCGGUUGCAGGCAACUUCGGCAGUCGUCGACAAAGGGGUGCGAACGGAGGAUAUUACGAAUGAGGCAGCGACAAUGCAUGUGGACGAGGCGGAUGUCGGAAAGAAAGUUGUUGAUGUGAGUUGUAAUUAUGUAAGGACAUGAGGAUUAUAUUGUAAAAGAACAAAAAUCUAAAUGAAGGGAGGUGAGAAGGGGAUCGGUAGAAGACCCCAGAUUUUUCCCCAAUGUCUCCUCUCCUUCAUGAACCCUAGUUCACAAAUCCAUGAGUGACAAGAUGGUAUCAGGGCGGGACGAAUCCUGUGUGGUUCUCCUGUGAUUUCGAUUGAUUUUGGUCGUCGGUGCGGUGCGGUGCUGUGUCGCUCCUAUUGUUGGAGGUGCUUCUGCUGCUGGCUUUGUUGUAGGUGUCGGGAAGCGACCUCGAUUCUGCCUGAAUCAAGUACAACCGGGGAGGCUCCUGCAGCUACCAGUUGAAUUGAAUAGAGCCUGGGCGUCUAGACUCCCUCCCCCGCUACAAGCUAAUUUUUUCUCUCCUGCCAUCCGGCGCCGUGAGCAGGUCUAGUUCGUCCCCAACUUGACUCUCGGACUCCUUGAGCUUCUGUGUUUUUUAUUGCUUUAGAAGAAGAAUCAGUGUUGCCUGGAGCUGCUUUGGUGGUCAGCUGGCCGGAUUAAAUAAUACUAUUUGCUAGUGUUGCAAUCCGAAGUAAUUGCCGUACUCUUUGGCACAUUGUUGAGCCGUACUAGUUGGUUCCUCUUUGUGCUGCACGUAUUUGAUAAGAAGAACCAAGUACUAGUGUUGGAAUAUAUUCUUGCUCACUGAACCAUGGGAGAUCCAAGUACAGAAAAACAGGGGAUUCUAGUGUUGAUAAGAUGUAUGAAAUAUUUAGCAAACUGCUUAAGCACCAGCAGGCUGCUGAGCCAGUUAAGCAUACACUUGAGCCAAAUCCAGUCAAACUAUCAGGACCUGGUGACUACAUCAGUUGGGCACGCCAUGCCAAAUUGAUUUUGAGCGCCAAUGAGUAUGAUUAUUUACUUGUUGGGAGUGAAGAAAGUUUGGAGAAAGGCGGUGCGGGCAGGAAACAAAUCAAUGAUAAAGUACUAGUAUGGCUGUUGGAAAGUAUGGAACCAAAAAUAAGAGAACAAGUGGAAGGCAUGGACACUGUUUGUGAGGUCCGGUCAUCUUUGAAGAAACAAUUUGCAGGGAAAACAAAUAAAAUGCAAGCCACCCAUAUCAUGCAUGAGUUAACUAAUUUGAAGCAGCGCUCAAGAUCUGUAACAGAGUAUCCAGGUGAAGUAAAAAAAUUAUAUAGAAACUUACAUUAUCAUCACCCUUUUGAACCUGUUGACAAGGAUGACUUGGCAAUUCAUCAUGUGUGGUUUGAGUCGUUUGUGAGCAAGCUCUUUCUUGAUGGCCUAGACCAGGAACUAAACCUCCGUCGUCAAUUGAUAUUUGGAAUGCCUGAGUGGCCUAGUCUUGAUGAUAUUAUUUCUAGCAUGAUUGAGGAGGAGACUCGUUUGGCACAACCGAAGGAGGAUGGUCAGGAGCGUGCAGAUGCUCGUGCUGCAUUAUCCAUACAACCUCGCCGUGCUACAAAUUCCUUUGGUAAGGUGGAUAAAAGCAAAUUGCUUUGUGACCAUUGCAAGAGAAAAGGACACACCAAGGAUGAGUGUUUUGAGUUGCAUGGUUAUCCACCUUGGUGGGAUAAAGGGAGAUCUCAGCUAGGGGGAGCUCGGGGUUCAAACAAAAGACAAGCUAAUUACAAUGCAUCUGCAAGGGAACUACAUGUGGUAGAUAUGCAAGCUCUUGAGGAUUUCAAAUCCAAGCUCAAAUUCUCUGAAGGCUCAUCUUCGUCCCAAGGUUCCUCCAAAGUUGAUUCUAGCUUUAAUGCCAUCACCCAAGGUAUGGAAUCCCACCAAGCCCAGUCAAAACCAUGGAUAAUUGAUACUGGAGCUACUAACCACAUGACAGGUGCCUCAAACUUGUUUACUUCAGGCACCUUCCAGUCCAGGCCAGCCAGGGUCCCGGCGACCCUCCUACUCCUACUCCUACCCCUCCCAACUGCCGCUGCCACUGUGCUCACCGAUUCUCAACGGAGGAAAUGGCCAUGCACAGCACACCACACCGCAGUGCACCUACCUAGGGUCGGUCCUCUACCUACCAACCCCCCCACUUUAACGCUAAUCUCCAACAGAAAAAAGGCCAANNNNNNNNNNNNNNNNNNNNNNNNNNNNNNNNNNNNNNNNNNNNNNNNNNNNNNNNNNNNNNNNNNNNNNNNNNNNNNNNNNNNNNNNNNNNNNNNNNNNCGAUUCUCAACGGAGGAAAUGGCCAUGCACAGCACACCACACCGCAGUGCACCUACCUAGGGUCGGUCCUCUACCUACCAACCCCCCCACUUUAACGCUAAUCUCCAACAGAAAAAAGGCCAAAGGCGACGGAGGCUGGACUCACUGGACUGGAAGCCACCCGGCCGGCCUCCUCCUCCUCCUCCUCAGUAGCCCUCACUCUCCCACACUGCUCACUGGUUGGUCGACGAUGAUAAAAACCUCCACACGAUAGGAAUCUCAAGCCAUCCUCCUCCUCCUCCUCCUCCCGGCAGUUUCCUCCACGGCUCCACCACCCCGAGCCCAAGCCAACCGAGCAAAGCGCACGCCAAAGCGAGGGGCUUUGCCUCGAAUCCUGGGCGAGCCGAGCCACGAGCCCCACCACCACUGCUUUCGCCUUUCCGUUCAUUCCAAGAACCGGCGUACGUACAUGGAGCCGGCGGCGGCGGACGGGGCCUCGGACGAGCCGGUGCACAAGGGGCGGACCAACUCCAUCCUGCUCCCCAUCCUCGCCGUGCUCCUCGCCUACCUGCUCUACCGCUACCUCCGCCCGCGCCUCCGCGGCCUGCGCCUCGACCGCCUCCCGUUCCGCGUCCCGGACUGCCUCCGCCGCCGCGGCAAUGCCACCCGGACCACCCUGCUGCCCUACUUCGCGCCCAUCGCCGACCGCCUCGGCGCGCUGCAGCCCUACCUCGGCCCCAUCGCCGACCGCCUCGGGGUCGGCGGCCCGCACGGCCACGGCGGCGGGUACGGCGGCGCCGACGCGCUCGUCAGGUUCCCCGGCGGCGAGGGCCUGUCGGUGGCCGCCAUCCUCGAGGCGCCUGGGGAGGUGGUGGCCAAGUCGUCGCACAGCACGCUCUACCGCGCCGCCAUGCGCUCCGGGGAGACGGCCGUGCUGCUCCGGUUCGUGCGGCCCGCGUGCGCCGUGGGCGCCGACGAGGCCGCCGCCGCCGCGCGCCGGAUCGGCGCCGUCAGCCACCCGAACCUCGUGCCGCUCCGCGCCGUGUACGUCGGGCCCAGGGGCGAGAAGCUGCUCGUGCACCCUUCUACGCCGCCGGCUCGCUCCACCGAUUCUUGCAAGGUCAGUGCAUGCGCAUCACUCACUCUUGCUUUGGUCGACAUGUUCAUCCUGAUUCGUACAAAUGCACAAUUUUGCUACGUCAAAAGUGCACAUGAGCCCACACCGCAAAUGAAACUUUUUCUUAAUUCUAUUUGUUGCGACGAGAUCACACAUGAAACAUUAUGCAAUUACAUUUCGUCACAAAGGGAAAAGCAUGGCGUGGUUGCGAAGCGAGUUCGAAGACUCCAAAAAGGCAGAUCAGCAGCUUUCACUAAACAAAAAUCAUUUGGGCCAUCAGUUUCAACUUUCUUUUUCGAUAAUCAGUAUCAACUUUUGAGGCAAUGUGGAAUGUGUUACACAGUUUGGUUAUGGUACAGAGUCCAUUUCUUAUUUCCAGUUCAUGUUCGCUGGUUCUUAUUAUUAUUGCCUACUGCGGCCAGGCAGGAAACAUUUCUCUGCUUUGGUUGUUAGCCUGAGACCUCACAUGACACUGUCCUGAAGCAAUGGUCCUGGCCAUUAAUGUUACAUAAGGUCAUUAGAUCACCCUUCACAAUCGUGAUCAUUGGGGCACACAAUCAGUCCAGUGUGUUGCUCAGUUAAAACAGUGGUUAGUGCUGUAUAGUCGUCUGUCAAACAGUAGUGAACAUAGUCAUUGUUGUGCCUUAAUUGAAGGCACAUGCACACAUGUGCAGUCUUUUCAAGCCAAAACCAUGCAUUCAUAAUAUUGGCAUUUGUUGUGAUGGUAGCUGAUGAUAGUCUGCCUGUGUGCUGCCAUUUUCACAGAGGGGAUCGCCGACUCGCAGAGAUGGAGCCUGAUCUGCAAGCUCUCCGUGUGCAUCGCCAAGGGGCUCGACCACCUGCACACGGGGAUGGAGAAGCCGAUCAUCCACGGCAACCUCAAGACGAGCAACAUCCUCCUCGACGCCAGCUACGAGUGCAGGAUCUCGGACUACGGCCUCUACCUCCUGCUCAACACCGGCGGCGCCCACGAGAUGCUGGAGGCGUCGGCGGCGCAGGGGUACAAGGCGCCGGAGCUGGUCAAGAUGAGGGACGCCACCAGGGAGAGCGACGUGUACAGCCUGGGCGUGGUGCUGCUGGAGAUGCUCGCGCAGAAGGAGCCCGCCGGCGACGACGACCGCGCGCCCAGCUCCCGCGACAUCUUCCUGCCGGCGUCGUUCAAGAACCUGGUGCUCGAGAGGAAGAUCUCCGACGCCUUCAGCUCCGACCUCGUCAGGCAGAGCAGGAAGUCGGGGAACGAGAAGAAGCUGAACGCGUUCUUCGAGCUGGCCACGGCGUGCUGCAGCCCUUCGCCGUCGCUCCGGCCCAACACCAAGGAGAUACUCAGAAGGCUUGAGGAGAUAGCAAAAUAAUUAACUAAAUGUGGGUAGGUUCACCAUUCAGACGUAGCACGAGGCAAGGCUCAAGGAACGACUGAACCUCUGCUGGACGGAAAAUUGGAGAAUGGAGGCACACGGUUCAGAUAUCAUGGAAUGUGUAUAGUCAGAGUGUAAGCGCGGUGGAGGCCAUCGUCUCAAGAAUAUACUCAUUGUACGUAAUUUAUUUUCUUGUGCUUUGCUUGAAACCGACCAUGUACAAAGUGUUGAAAGAGUGGGGACGGCGUAUGCUGCAUGUUCAUGCAUCAAAAUCGCCAUGUCGAUGUAACCUUGGUCUGAUCUGAGUGUUAUAUCAGAUAUGAUUGGUAGGAGCAUUUGCUGUGCAGCUUGUGAUGUUCCCGGUGCAUGUGCGGUUGUUCUACUUGUACGCACUGACAAGGGCCGGCAGGGAGUGAUUCUCUCCAAGGGAAUUAUGCCCAGCGUUGCCUGAUUUCGGUCUCUGCACAGUCAUGCUGUCCUUAACAGUGGCU